rnacentral:rRNA from 1 species
UACGGAGGGUGCGAGCGUUGUUCGGAAUCACUGGGCGUAAAGGGCGUGUAGGCGGUCCGCUAAGUCUGAUGUGAAAGCCCGGGGCUCACCCCCGGAAGUGCAUUGGAAACUGGCGGACUCGAGUCCCGGAGAGGAGAGUGGAAUUCCUGGUGUAGCGGUGAAAUGCGUAGAUAUCGUAAGGAAGACCAGUGGCGAAGGCGGGUCUCUGGACAGUUCCUGACGCUGAGGCACGAAGGCCAGGGGAGCAAACGGG